CCCAGCGUGCAUUCCGCCCUAGUAAUCCAAUUACACACAAAUUUGUUUUCCACAAAAACCAUUAUGUAUUCCUAGCCCAGGGCUCGAAGUAGCUGCUUUCGAGCGAGCUUAAUCGAACUCUACAGAGGAGAAAUAGAGAGAGAUUCCGAGAUACAGGAAACGAGAGAUGGUGGGGGAAGAGAAAAGGCAUCAGAUGAUGCAAAACCUAUUCGGUGAUCAGUCCGAGGACGAAGAGGAAGAAGAAGAGGAAGAAGAGGAGAUCGAAUCUGAGCACGAAUCGAAUCGUCAGCCCGACUACGUUUCUGAUGAGGGGGAUAGAGGUCUGGAGCCUGAGGGAGAAGGUGAAGCUGAAGUUGAAGGUCAAGGAGAAGCAGAAGUUGAGAGUGAAGGUGACAUGCGUGAUGCAGAGCAUGAUCCUGCAGAAAGUGAAGGUGAUCGAGAUCAAAGUUCUCAGGAAGUGGAUGUGGCUGAUCAAAGGGAAGAAAGCCAAGGAAAAGAAACAGAUAGUGAUGAGAAGGAAGAGUACGGCCAAAGGGUAGUUACAAGUAGGAGACGUGAUGUGAUUGAAAGUGGUUCAGAAAGGUCUGUGGAAAACCAUUAUAAUGAUGAUGAAGACGAGGAGGUUGAUCAGGCUAGGAGUUUGAGUAGGUCACCUGGGGAGGAUAAAGAUGAGACUCACAUUUCAAACUCAGCUCCAGAGAUUCGUGAUGUAUUUGGUGACUCUGAUGAUGAGGAACAAGUUGAGUACACAGUUCAGAAUAAUGCUGAGGAUGAUUUAAAUAGAUCCCUUAUGGAAGAGGAAGGGAGCUAUGAGAGGAGUCCGAGACCUGAAGAAAUGGUUCCUGAUGAAGAUGCUCUAUAUGAAUCUGAAGAAGAGAACCUUGAGUCCAAAAUUAAGGAGAAACCAACUGGCCCUCCAUUGGAGCUAGAGAUUCCACUCCGCCCUCCACCAGCUCUCCCAGAUAAGAUGAACAUGAUUAAAGUUUCUAAUAUAAUGGGCAUUGAUCCAAAGCCAUUUGAUCCCAAGACCUAUGUUGAAGAGGAUGUCUUUGUGACUGAUGAGUCUGGAUCUAAGAAACGUAUUCGCCUAGACAACAAUACGGUGCGCUGGAGGAUUGCACGAAAUCCAGAUGGUACAGAAUCUUAUGAAAGCAAUGCACGUUUCGUAAGAUGGUCAGAUGGCAGUUUGCAGUUAUUGAUUGGGAAUGAAGUUCUUGAUAUAUCUGUGCAAGACGCACAACAUGAUCAAGCACACCUUUUUCUUAGGCAUGGAAAGGGAAUCCUUCAGUCACAGGGAAGAUUACUGAAGAAGAUGAGGUUUAUGCCAUCAUCCUUGUCGUCCAACUCCCAUCGAUUGUUGACUGCUCUUGUUGACUCGCGCCAUAAAAAAGUUUACAAGGUCAAAAACUGCAUCACUGACAUUGACCCUGAAAGGGAAAAAGAGCAGAAAGAAAAGGCUGCAAGUCAGACAAUCCGAGCCAACGAGAUGCUUAGCCGCAAAAAAGAAAAGGUUAAUCGCAAGUACACGCAAACCGUACGCAGAGAACGUCAACUUUCACCUGGUUUCUUGGAGGAUGCACUAGAUGAGGAUGAUGAGGGAGAUUAUUUUGAAUCUCGUCGUUCGGCCUCACGGCGUCGAUUUGAAGAAGACUUGGAAAUGGAAGCUCAAGCUGAGAGGCGUAUUAUCAAUGCUAAGAAGCCACAGGGACAUAAAGAUACGCCUCGCAAGUCAUCCUUGCCCCCACUGAAGUCAUCUCGUCGUCCAGUUGAUUUUUCUGAAAGCGAGAGAGAGGAAUCUGAGUAUGAAACAGAGGGGGAAGAAGAGGAGAGGUCCCCACAACGUCGAACAGUAGAGGAAUCAGAGCAGGAGGAUGAAUAUGAAGUAGAAAACCAUGAAGAAGAAGAGGCAGCAGCCAAUGAAGUAUCAGAAGAGGAGAUUGAGGAGCCAAAGCAGAAAACCAAGGAGUUUGGGGGUAGUAGUCUCAAGCGCAAGGAGAUCGAGUCAGAUGAAGAUUCUCCUCCAAGAAAGACAUCAACACAUCGCAGAAUGGCUAUUGUCUAUGACAGUGAUGAGGAUUAAAACAUGCUUCAGAUAGCAGAUGCUAUGGUGAUCAUGUGGGAUGCCUGACCUCUAAAGGGGAGUGUUACAAAGAGGAGUAAGAAGUGCGACCGGGCUGGCCUUCGUAUAUGAGCAUCGGCUUGGCCGAGUACUCGACUGGCGGCUGGGGAAAAGGAGGAGCCCGAGAGAGUUGAAGAGUGUCACUGAGCCUUGUGUUUAAAGGGAAACAACAUCAUUUGCACUGUUUACUUUUCAUUUACUAGAACCCAUAUCCCUAUCUAUCCCUAUCCCUAUCUAUCCCUAUCCCAUGAAUUUGGCUUUUUGUAAAAAUCUUGUUCAAAUUGAAGAAUGAAUUUUCACGGUAAGGCAUAAAUGUUUACGCCCUGCCUGCUUUCAUUAAGUUUUCUCUUCCUGGAAGUAUUUUGAAGUGUAAAUUAGUUUGCUGUAUUUUUAUUCAAUACCGAACUUGGAACUUUUAAGUUUUUUU